rnacentral:rRNA from 1 species
ACGAACGCUGGCGGCGCGUCUUAAGCAUGCAAGUCGGACGGCAAGCUGUAGCAAUACAGCCUAGAGUGGCGGACUGGUGAGUAACGCGUGGGUGACCUACCCUUGAGUUGGGGAUAACCGUUAGAAAUAGCGGAUAAUACCGAAUACGAUCGUGACCCUGUGGGGAUACGAUGAAAGGAGCUACGGCUCCGCUCGAGGAUGGGCCCGCGUCCCAUUAGCUAGUUGGUGAGGUAACGGCCCACCAAGGCGACGAUGGGUAUCCGGCCUGAGAGGGUGUACGGACACAUUGGGACUGAGAUACGGCCCAAACUCCUACGGGAGGCAGCAGCUAAGAAUAUUCCGCAAUGGACGAAAGUCUGACGGAGCGACGCCGCGUGGAUGAAGAAGGCCGAAAGGUUGUAAAAUCCUUUUGCCGGUGAAGAAUAAGUGCGGUAGGGAAUGACCGCAUGAUGAUAUUAGUCGGUGAAUAAGCCCCGGCUAACUACGUGCCAGCAGCCGCGGUAACACGUAGGGGGCAAGCGUUGUUCGGAAUUAUUGGGCGUAAAGGGCAUGUAGGCGGUUUUGUAAGCCUGGUGUGAAAUCCUGCAGCUUAACUGUAGAAUUGCAUUGGGUACUGCGAGACUUGAAUCACAGAGGGGAAACUAGAAUUCCAGGUGUAGGGGUGGAAUCUGUAGAUAUCUGGAAGAAUACCGGUGGCGAAGGCGGGUUUCUAGCUGAUGAUUGACGCUGAGGUGCGAAAGUGCGGGGAGCAAACAGGAUUAGAUACCCUGGUAGUCCGCACCGUAAACGAUGUACACUAGGUGUCGGGGCAUGAGUCUCGGUGCCAAAGCUAACGUGAU